rnacentral:tRNA from 2 species
GAUUCAAUGGAUGAAGGAUAAUGGCGCGUCCUCCGUUGACGUCAAACGACUGCAAGGAGCCUAGGCGUGGCUGUUCAAGACAACCUUCGAAUUAC